ensembl:lncRNA
AUUCUUUAUGGCUGAGUAGUACUCCAUUUUAUAAAGAAACCACAUUUUCUUUACCCAGUUUCCAGUUGAUGGGCACUUGGGCUCCUUCCAAGCUUUAGCUAUUACAAACUGUGCUGCUAUGAACAUGGGUGCGCAUAUAUCACUGUGGCAUGAUUCUUUUAAUUCUUUUUGGAAGAUACCCAGCAGGGGAAUAGCUGGGUCAAAUGGGACCUGUAGUCCUAGUUCUUUGAGGUAUCUCCAUAUUGACUUCCACUGUGGUUGCACCAGUCUGCACUCCCACCAGCAAUGAAGAAGUGUUCCUUUCUCCCCACAACCCUGCCAGCAUUUGUUAUUUGUUGAUUUCUUGAUAGCAACCAUUGUUUGUGGGGUGAGGUGGAAUCUCAGUGUUGUUUUCCUCUGCAUCUCUCGAAUGAUGAGUGAUGUUGAACAUUUUUUCAUAUAUUUGUUUGCUGCUUUUACUUCUUUGUCUGAGAAAUGUCUGUUCAUUUCAGAUGCCCAUUUUUGAAUUGGGUCUUUGAAUUUGGGGGGUCUGAUUUUUUUCAAUUCUUUAUAUAUUUUAGGUAGUAGUCCUUUGUCUGAGGUACAGCUGCUAAAAUUUUUUUCCCAUAUUGUUAGGUUGUCUCUUAGCUCUGUUGCUGGUUUCUUUUGCAGUGCAGAAGCUUUUUAAUAAGAUGAGAUCCCAGUUGUUGAUUCUUUCUGCUAGUUCCCGUGCUGCUGAAGUUUUGUUCAUGAAAUCUUUUCCUAUGCCAAUGUCUUCAAGAGUUCUACCUAACAUCUUCCAGCAAGUCCUGGAAUAGCUAAAGCAAUUCUAAGCAACAGAGACAUGGCUGGGGGUAUCACAAUCCCCAACUUGAAACUAUACUACAAAGCUACUGUGAUAAAAUCAGCAUGGUACUGGCAAAGGAACAGACCUGAGGAUCAGUGGAAUAGAUUAGAAGAUGCAGAAACAACUCCAGACACACUCAGCCACCUCAUCUUUGACAAAGGAGCCAACCACCGUCAUUGGAGGAAAGAUAGCUUAUUUAAUAAAUGGUAUUGAAAAAACUGGAUGUCAACCUGCCAAAGAUUGAAACUAGACCCAUACCUACAACCAUGCACUAAACUAAGAUCGAAGUGGAUUAAAGAUAUAACUAUUAAGACAGAAACACUAAAAUGUAUUUAUCUUUAGAAAUAAAUUGAUGCAGGCCUGGGAUUUAGCUCAGUGUUUCUACCACCUGCCUCGCAAGCACAAGGUACCGAGUUCGAUCCCUGGUACCAAAAGAAAAAAAAAAGAAAUAAAUUGAUGCAAUUUGAGUUGACCACAUUUUGGGACAGUUCCUGAUCAGAGUUUUCCUAUGUUAAUGCCAUUUAAGUUGUCAUACAAAUUUAAUUAACAUAACCGUGGAACCUUGGGUACUGUGGAGAAAGAGGUGUGGAGGUGAAUAGGUUACCAAAUUGUCAUGUACUUAGAAAAUUAAAGAACAUAGGACUUUAAAUUAUGAAUUUUAAAAAUUAGGAUACUUGAAAGUGGAAAUCCAAACAGUAAAAAUUCCCCUGGUUCAUGUGACUUAAGGGAGAGGGAUGGAAGGCAAGGGUAGGAGGAAUGGUUUGGAAAUUGCUUGCCAAAAAGUAGUUGUCAUAGUUUAUUGCAUAUCUCCUGUAUACCUAAUGAAAUGCAAUAAACUAUAUGUCUCCUUCUCUGGUCCUACGGAAUUUCCUUUCUUUGCCAGGGUGGGGCAAGUCACUCACAUAUGAAGUGAUUCAUUAUAACUGCCUAAGAUUUGUGUGACUGUGAAAAUAAAUGGAUGCCUGUGAAAGAUUCCUUGGCUUCUCCUCUCUUAUCCCUCUUUCCCAGCAGGAGCACUUGCUUGCUGUUCACUUUGGGUACUGGAAUGCUGGGACCAGCUCCACACAUAGAUUCUAGCCUUUGUUGAUCACUUUCACCCCUGAAGCAAUUGAGAAACCACCUAGAGGAAAAAAAGAUGGGAGAGAAAUAGAGGAUAAAGCAAAAGAAAGUGAGUAUACAAGAAGCCCAGCAUAAAAUAUAAGGGAUCUCAAAGUGGGUACUUGGUUCUUACUAUCUUAGGAACACUUUAAACCAAAGGAUUUGCUCUCGCAGAAUUUUAGAAUUCAAUGUAACCUUACAAAUAAUAUAGUUCAUAGGCUUCAUUUUAAGAGUAAGGAAAGAAUAGAAAGGUUAAAUGACAUGGUCAUGGUCACACAAAUAGUGGUAUUGUCUACUGACUGGCCACCAUGCUGCUACUUGUCUUUAUUUUUAGGGUGAGCAAAGUAGGCCAUUUACCUCAGAGUUUUGGUGGAAAGGCUAAGAUCAUUAGGUACUUCAUUUUGGCCAAUGAAUGGGCAAUUUCCAAACUUUAUCUUUCUCAUUUCCUGUAUUUGACACUGUUGAUUCCUCAUCUUUUCUUGACAUUCUCUAUUUUUUCCUUUUCUGUGUCUGCUUGAUUUUUGCUCCUUUUAAUGUGAGUUUUAUUAUUAAUUUCCUUCAGAGGACCUCAUUAGGCUUGCACUCCUUGCCAUUGAGGCUUCAGAGGCCUGCCCUCAGUCCUCUGUUCUUUGCCCUCUUCAUAUUCGCUUUGGAAGAUCUCAACAUUUAUUUAGUACUUUUUAUAAACCCCAUACCAUGCCAGAAACCAAGCAAUAUCAGAUGCAGCCACUGGGCCAUGGGGUGAGUGAUCCUUUUCAUUUUUGGUGCCCCAGCUGCUGCUAAUAGUUGAGGAUUCUUAAUUCUAUAGCUCUUGUUAUGAUUGAUGCCCUGGGCUGCACAUUUACAUCAGGUUGGAUGAACCAUGGAAACCACAAACUUGAUAUCCUUAACAUGGACUCUCAACUUUUUCCUUCCACAUUGUCUUCUAUGUCUGCCUUUCUUCCUGAAUUCUGUAUCUCAAUGCCAAAGUCACUUAGUGACUCCAUCCAAAAGUAGAAAGUCAGUUUUGGUUCAUUUUCUUUCUUUCCCUUCCAGUGACAAAUUCUUGUCCCCUCUACCUUACUCCUACUCUCCUUUGUCUCUUUAUCAAUUUGCUUGUGGUUUUCCAGUAGGCUCCUGAUUGGAUUUUAUUUUCCAGGCUAUCUUCUCUUCCUGUGCUCUUCCUAAAAUCCACUCUUCACAGGGUUGGUAGAGUGAUGGUCCAGACCACAGUGGAAAUCUAACCAUGUUAGUCUUUGCUUAAAUCCCUGUUGAGGAGCUGGGGGUGUGGUUCAGUGAUAGAGUGCUUGUCUAACAUGCAUGAGGCUCUGUGUUCUAUCCAUAGCACCACACACACACACACACACACACACACACACACACAUGCACACGCACGCACCUCUAAUUUCCCACAUCUGAUAGAGUAAAGCCCAGUCUCUAGGUUGUCUGUAACCUGACUGUGCCCUGUGCUACCUGCCCUUCAUACCCAUCUGCUUGCCAGGGUCUGACAAUGUCAUUCUGUUUCUUAAGUCAGAUUUUCACCCUUGUGCCAUUUUCUCUGUCUGAAAUAUAAUACCCCAACUCAUGGCUUACAGCUCUGUAUCACUUAGUGAAACAAACAAAUUAUUAAAAAUUUCAAAUAUUCAUUCAAAGAGAAAGAAAGGCACAAUGAAUUCCUGAAUUCAGUAUUCAGAUUUUGAUCCACUUCCUUCCCCAUGUGAGGGCACUAGGAGUUGGCAGUCUGAGGUCUGGAAGAGGGCCCUGGACAGAGCUGGAACCAAACCAUGCUGGUAGCCUGAUCUUGAAGUGCUGAUCUAGAGCUGUGAGAUACAAUGUUUACUGUUUAGGCCAACAGUAUACAGUAAUUUGUUAUAGCAACCUAAAUUAAGGCAGUAGUCCAAAAAAGUAUCUUUAAGGCUAGAUUUGGGACAUUGCCCUAAUGAAAUGAUUAUUAAUAAAAAUUAUGUCUGUGAAGAAUUGUGGUCCCUGAUAGACACAUGACCUUUGAAAUGCUGUCC